CCAGGCCAUGCACUUGACCCUUAUCUAAAAACUUCAUCCAAGCUAUGAAGCUUGGAUCCAAGCUACAGUUUUCUAAAGAAAAACGCAAGGCAUUCUAAACGCCAAAUACUGAGUUCAAAAAUUUAAACCCCGAACUGCUAAAAAGCAGUUUUUCUGACAUUCAAAAGAGAAAGUUAGAGCUUUUCCUGGGCCACCGAGGCAUUGGAAAGAUUCAGUGAAAACCCAGGAAAGAGCAGAGCCCCAGAAGAGCAGACCCGUCACAAAGGCCCACAAGGGGAGGCCACAGUCCGGACACAGACACAGUACCCAACAGCUGCUAUGUGGACACAGCUAAGCUGGACUCUGAGGUUGGACCAAGAUCAAAGCCUCCUCUUAAGCAACAGAUCAAUUUCUGGCUCAGCCAUCAUCAGAGAAGAUGGAAACUAAUACAGAGACCCACAAGUGAACAUGUGUGGAGAGCGGAGAGACUUGAAACACUCAGUUCUGAAUGGCAGGUCAGCAAACCUCUCCCCUCAGAGCUCAGGGAACUAUGCAAAGCAAGAGAUGGAAAGAUUGUAAGAGUCCAGAGAGGAUGGACUACAAGAUGGAGACAGCGUCUUACAGGAACAACAGGACUGAUGCUUUGUGAACUCACGCAGACUGAGCAGGCUACACACGGCUUGCACUGCCUUAAGUCAGACAGGGUCCUUGGGUGAGGCGGGAGGGGGCGAAGUAGACAGGAGCUCCCAUCCCUAACCAAGAAGCUGUCUCCAAACUGGCAACCACUGGAGAAAAAAAUCAAUUUUCUCCAAUGAAGCCAAUGGGUAUUAUAAACUACACUCACAGGCAGGCCCCAUGCCCAUAAGCUGUUCACAAAAUGAAUUCAGCAGUAUUUUUGUAGACUUAUUUGGCCAUUUCUUGUGCUUUCUCUCUCUCUCUCUUUUUUUAUUCUGUCUUUUCGACCUUUUUAAUUGGCCUGUUCAUUUUCUAAGGAAAGAAAGUAUGGAAUUGGAUGCGUGGGAAUAUGGAGAGGACCUGGAAGUAGGGGCAGGGUGUGAUCAGAUUACGUUGUGUGAAAAAAAAAUAAUUUUCAAUUAAAAAUUUUUGAUCACAUAGAAGUUUAAUUAUCUCAGAUCCUGAAUUCUAAACUCCAUGGAGUACUGAAGACAUAUCCUGUACUUUCAUGGCUCAGACAAAAUUGUUUAUUGCACCAUCUGUCAUCUUCUUGGCUGAUGAUGAAAUAAUAGAAAUAUUUCUGAAAACAUUUUAUAUGUGAAUGUAUCUCUUAAACAAUACUUCUCAUGCAUACAAUGUCAAUUCCUAUCUUUUGCUAGUUGCUAGCUAUGUUACUUUAUUUUGUUGUGUUUCUUUUGUUAUAAAUACUGAUGUUUUCUUAAUGAUUUGCAAAUAUUAUAUUUGUUGUGUAUAUUUUCAUUUUAUUGACGGUAUUAUUUACUGCAAGAAUUCAUAAUUUUGUGUAAUCUAACUUAGUAUUUCCUGACAGUUGUACUUUUGUUGUCACAUGUAAGAGAUCAUUGCCUAACUGAGGAGAAUGAAAAUUUAGACCUGUUUUCCUCUAAAGAUGCUAAUUUAUUCAGCUCAGUCUGAUCAGUGAUUGGUUUUUCUGUUAACUUUUGUGUGCUAGAUUAAAAGGAAGGCCAGCUUCAUUGUUUUGUAGGUGGAUACUCAGUUAUCUCAGCAUCAUUUGUUAAGGAGACUCUUAGUCUCCCAGUGAGUAGUUUUGACACGCUUAUCAAAAAUGACGAUGAAUAAAUGCAAGAUUUUAUUUCUUGGUUAUAUUCA